rnacentral:rRNA from 1 species
GAUGAACGCUGGCGGCGUGCCUAACACAUGCAAGUCGAGCGGCAGCGAGGGGUGCUUGCACCCUGUCGGCGAGCGGCGGACGGCUGAGUAAAGCGUGGGAACGUGCCCCAAAGUGAGGAAUAACUGCCCGAAAGGGGAGCUAAUACCGCAUAUUAUCUUCGGAUCAAAGGAUUUAUCCGCUUUGGGCGCGGCUCGCGUCGGAUUAGGUAGUUGGUGAGGUAAUGGCUCACCAAGCCGACGAUCCGUAGCUGGUCUGAGAGGAUGACCAGCCAGACUGGAACUGAGACACGGUCCAGACUCCUACGGGAGGCAGCAGUGAGGAAUCUUCCACAAUGGGCGAAAGCCUGAUGGAGCAACGCCGCGUGCAGGACGAAGGCCUUCGGGUUGUAAACUGCUUUUAUAAGUGAGGAAUAUGACGGUAACUUAUGAAUAAGGAUCGGCUAACUACGUG